rnacentral:tRNA from 1 species
GUUAUAGCUCAGUAGGAUAGAGCGGUCGCCUCCUAAGCGACAGGUCGGAGGUUCGAAUCCUCUUAGC